CUCUGAAACCAACAAACCUAACUAACUUCUAAGCUCAGUCUUCAGACAACAGGAAAACCUUCAGGCAACUGGGGAAAACACAGGCAAGGAAAGGACCAGGAAAACCAGAGUACUUAAUUUUACAGGAUAUGCAUUCCUCACACCUAGAGGUACCCGGGGAUCAAUCAAGAUGGGUAACUUUUAGGCGCAAGUCAUACACAUAGUGGAGCAUCAACUUUUUUCACUUCUACCUUAAACUCUACAUUUCUAUAGGUUCCAUUUCCCUGUGGUUUGUGUCCUCAACUGAACUAACAUUUUAUUUCCAAGAUAAACUUGAAAGGUAUUAACAUUAACACUGCUCCCCCCUCCCAGUUCUUUCCUCUAGAUGCCAGCUGUUCCAUUGGCUUUUCUUCAGCUUUCUGAUUCCUUCUUGUGACUAGUGCAUACUGCUGCAGGGGUACAACAGAGAGGUCAAUUUAGAAAUCACUUCAACAUGCAGAGAAAACUCUUAGGUAGAUGAUCAAUAAAGAUUGCAAUGUCUGUGGUGCCAAGUUCUCAGGAGUGAAAUCUCUUUACUCAAGGCCAGUACAGCACCACACAUUACUCUGCUUAGCUUGACCGGAAUUGCUUUCCUGAAGAAAAGUUCGGCACUCUCUGCAGGAGAGCCAUGGGAUAAGUUGAAUACAGCAUUGCACUAGGUCGACCAAGAAGACCCAGGUUCAAUUCACUGUUUAGCCAUAUUGUUACAAUGUGCUGCCCUCAGUUCUUUGGAGAAAAUUGUUCUGCAAAGACGAUUUCAAACCGAUAUAUUCUGACUAUUUGCUGAGGGCCCUCUCAAGAGUUGCCGAAAGAUAACUUCGCAAUAUGGUGCCUUCCAGGACACUUGUUCAAAAUAGAGGACCGUUCACCUCCACUGCGGGUAUAUUCAUGAGGCACAGUUAAAGUAAUGUUCAACAGCCCCUAAGAAAAGGCAUUGGCUUCAAAUUUAUGCAUACAUUUAGUUGGUUACUCCUAAAUGACAAAGGAGACUCCUAAAUAACUUAUCGUUAAGAGAUAUAAAACUGUGCACCAUCUCACCCUGAUCCCUUUCCCUACUCUCUUGCCCCCUUUUCCCACCAGGAUAAUCUACCAUCAACUCUCCUGUAGGAAGGCUUCUAGGAACGGGAGACAGGAGAACACCCCACCCCUAGAUUUGCUCCCCUCACCACACGGUGAUCUACUGCCCUGCUGGAAGGAUUCUGAUG